UCGCCUGUUUAUCAAAAACAUGGCCUUUAGGUUUUAUUUAAGGUUUUGCCUGCCCGGUGAUUUAUUAAACGGCUGCAGUAUUUUGACUGUACAAAGGUAGCAUAAUCAUUUGUUUUUUAAUUGGGAGCUUGUAUGAAUGGUAGGACGAGAGAUAUACUUUCUUUAUUAUAAUUAUUUUGAAUUUAAUUUUUAAGUUAAAAAGCUUAAAUUUACCCAUGGGACGAGAAGACCCUAUAGAACUUUAUACUAUUUAAUUAAUAAAUUUUGGUUAUAACUUAUUAAUUUAUUAAGUAUUUUAUUGGGGUGAUUGAAUAGAAUUAUUAACCUAUUUUGUUGAGAAUUCAGUAAUUACUGUUUUUUUUUGAUCCAGAGAUUUCUGAUUAUAAGAUUAAGUUACCUUAGGGAUAACAGCGUAAUUUCUUUAGAGAGUUCUUAUUGAAAAAGGAGUUUGCGACCUCGAUGUUGGAUUAAAAUUAGAGUAAGGUGUAGCCGUUUUAUAUCUAGGUCUGUUCGACCUUUAAAUUUUUACA
rnacentral:rRNA from 1 species